GUCAUAUCAGUCCAGUUUUUAAGAAGAACUUCAGUGCCUUGCUGAAAAGGAGAGGGUCCACACACCCCUUUGAAAGGAUUGCUACACCUUUCCAGUUGUUCAGCUGGACUGCUCCAGCACUUGACCAUACAAUGGACUGUCUUCGAGCAGAGGAUGUCAGCUCCUUCAGCCUGGGUUAUGAAGAACACGUGCCUGCUCUGGCCCGGGACUGGAAUGAAGAACUUCAGACCACAAGAGAGCUUCCAAGGAAAACCGUGACUGAUCGUCUGAUGAGGGACCGAGCUGUUU